UUUCUAUCAUGAAUCAAACCAUCUCACUAUGACUGGUAAUGAAAACACAUGAGCACCCGAGAGAC
rnacentral:snoRNA from 1 species